rnacentral:rRNA from 1 species
AGCGAACGCUGGCGGCAGGCCUAACACAUGCAAGUCGAACGAACUCUUCGGAGUUAGUGGCGGACGUGUGAGUAACACGUGGGAACGUUCCUUUUGGUUCGUAAUAACUCAGGGGAACUUGUGCUAAUACCGAAUGUGCCCUUCUGGGGAAAGAUUUAUCGCCAUUUGAGCGGCCAGCGUCUGAUUAGCUAGUUGGUGAGGUAACGGCUCACCAAGGCGACGAUCAGUAGCUGGUCUGAGAGGAUGACCAGCCACACUGGGACUGAGACACGGCCCAGACUCCUACGGGAGGCAGCAGUGGGGAAUGUAGCGCGAUGGGAGAAAGGCUGACGCAGCCAUGCCGGGGGAAUGAUGAAGGUCUUAGGAUUGUAAUAUUCUUUCACCGGGGACGAUAAUGACGGUACCCGGAGAAGAAGCCCCGGCUAACUUCGUG